GCCCGGAACACGAGAAGGCCAUCCUCCAAUUUGGGAAAGUAGGGAAAGAUGUUGUUUACAAUGGAUUACCAGUACCCACUUUCUGCAUUUCAGGCAUUUGCUAUCUGCCUUAGCAGCUUCUACACUAAGAUUGCUUGUGAAUGACAAACAAAAGUUAAUUCUGUUGGUUACACUGAAAAGGUGAAAGCAAUAAGAGUGUUUGGUGCACGCAAACGGGGAUGAUAUGCAGAGAAGCUGCUUGCUUGUCCAGGGGCAAGGGCUUUCAUCUGCAGACUGCAUCUUUUAUUUUGAUGGCUUCAGGUGUAAAUAUUGUGGGAAAAUGUGGGAAUAUAAAAAAUAAGAAUAAAAAGUUCUAAAUUUUGUAAAUUGUUGAUUGACAAAUUUGUUUUGUAUAUU